rnacentral:lncRNA from 1 species
UUCUUUAAGUUACUUGUCAAACUUACUGUCAAAAUUUCACAAAUGUCUUGCCUUCUGUCUGUCAAGUACCUUUUCUCUUUCAGCUUAGCCUAAAGAUGGGUAUCAGCCGUGAUCAUUGGCAUAAGCGGAGGGCUACGGGAGGCAAACGCGCUCCCAUCCGUAAGAAGAGGAAGUAUGAGUUAGGUCGCCCGGCUGCCAACACGAAGCUUGGUUCCCAGCGUAUUCAUUUAGUACGCUCCCGCGGUGGCAACAUUAAGUACCGCGCGCUGCGCCUGGACACUGGAAAUUUUUCUUGGGGUUCAGAAUGUAAGUGAAAAAAG